AAAAAAGGAAAGAAAGAAAUUUUAAGUAUAUCUGUCUGUCUGUCUGACUCCACACACAUGUAUAUGAACUUGGGUUACAUUCCCUUCUUAAUCUAAAGGGUUUUAUAUUAUGUUCACCCACCUUUGCAACUGCAAGAGCUUUAACUCUUUUGGAAAUGCUUUCAACAAGGUUUUUGAGAGUGUUUAUUGAAGUUUUUGACCAUUACUAAAAUGCAUGUAUGUGGUCGAUAUUCUUUCACACAUCUGUGUGAAAGAAUAUCUUUCACACAGAUGUGUGAAAGCUAUUCUUGCACUUUUUUCAGAACAGAUUGUUCAUAAAAAUAUGAUCAGAAUUAAUUUUGUUUACAUCAUCUGAAGGCCUACUCUCAUGAUACAUAAACUGUACUUUACUUAAUGCAUUUAAAUAGAUUACUAAGAGAUACUAGAGUUUUUGAUAGAAAACACUUUUUCUUGUUAAAGAUUGUAGGGAUCUUUUAGUCCAUGAAUAAAAACUUUUACUUCCUGCAUCAAACUCUAUCCAGUCACUCCAUGUCCUGUCCCAGCUAUUCUACAACACGUAUUAUGGGAAUGUUUUGGUGUAGGUGACUUUCAUAACUGCUUACUUUGUUUUUAUAGUCAAAUCAUGAAGAACUGUAACAACAAUCAUGUGGAUAGCAGGAAUAUUGCUGGACAUUAUGCAAAGCUCUUCUUUGAAAGUCAUGUUUCAUAUCUCUUCGAGUCAUCAUGGACAAAUGUUCUCUGUAUUUCUCUCUUAGUGGAAACAACAACAAAGGUACCCUUUAGCUUUUUUGUAAAUAGUUUGUUUCCGUUUGUUUGUUGAAAGAUUUUUUUCUACACAUUUUUCUCCCAACUGUACUUUUUUUCCCUCUCUCUUUAUAGGCGUGUCGCUGGCAAAAUAUAGCUGACAUUGCAGAUUUCUGACAGGUUACAACCAGAGCGAUCUCACUGAAAACUUGCCUCCAGCUCACAAACUGCUGAAGUGUCAUCAGAAGUUUGAACAAAAAGACGAACUUGACCUGAAGUGGGACAGAGAAACGGAAUAUACUGAGGGGAAAGUGUUACAGGCGGCCGGGGGAUGAAAAUAGCUACUUGAAACCUGAGACUACAUUGCAGUACAUUUGAUUUGCUGGACUGUGUUUACAUCCUCUGGCCCAGAAACAACAACAGUACUUAAUGUUUCUUCCAGCACUGACUUAACUCAACUUAAUGAAGAAAACAAGAACAUUUCCGCAGUCUUGUGACGUGUGUCACCGAAGCUUUCAGAGGCAACCAGAAGCAUACUGCUGUACCAUUCCACCUUAAUAAGAGGGUGUGUCAACUCUAGACUGUGGAGUGAAUCAUCAACUUGCUCCACAACCACAAACUAAUGUGGCGUCCAGAGAAAAAACGUUCCCUGAAGUAACCGGCAUGUGCAAAAAGUACAGAAAGCAUCUCGCUUGGGUCACUUAUUUAAUAAAAUAAGUAGUUUUAAUUGUUUUAUGGGGUAAA